UCGUAACAAGGUUUCCGUAGGUGAACCUGCGGAAGGAUCACUGACGAGAGAGGGUCUUCCAGGCCCGACCUCCCACCCGUGUCUCUUUCUGACCCUGUUGCUUCGGCGGGCCGCGCCAGCGCCCCGUGCCUGGCCGCCGGGGGGCCCCUGUGCCCCCGGGUCCGCGCCCGCCGGAGACCUCCAAUGGAAUUCUGUUCUGAAAGCCUGUCGUCUGAGUGAUUGUCUUGCAAUCAGUUAAAACUUUCAACAAUGGAUCUCUUGGUUCCGGCAUCGAUGAAGAACGCAGCGAAAUGCGAUAACUAAUGUGAAUUGCAGAAUUCAGUGAAUCAUCGAGUCUUUGAACGCACAUUGCGCCCCCUGGUAUUCCGGGGGGCAUGCCUGUCCGAGCGUCAUUACUGCCCUCAAGCCCGGCUUGUGUGUUGGGUCCUCGUCCCCCCCGGGGGACGGGCCCGAAAGGCAGCGGCGGCACCGCGUCCGGUCCUCGAGCGUAUGGGGCUCUGUCACCCGCUCUGUAGGCCCGGCCGGCGCCCGCCCCGUCAACCUCUAUUCUUUCCAGGUUGACCUCGGAUCAGGUAGGGAUACCCGCUGAACCUAAGCAUAUCAAU
rnacentral:misc_RNA from 1 species